GGGUGUGACAGCAACGUGGCUGCAACAUCUGUCACGCUAUUGAUCACCUGAGUUGCUGCAGCUGAUCUGGCUGGCUAAGCAGGUGUCCGCUUCCACCUUCACUGCAGCACGUGCAUCCCUCCUGAAGCUGCACACUCAGUCAAAGGGGACAGCCAGCCCCUACAGGAGAACCAUUUCCUCGGUCAAGGGUAUAUGAGUAGCUGUGCUCCCCUGCUAAAACCUCUCAAGAGUACGAAAUAUUUAUUGAGAGAGCUCCUGAGAAGCAGGAGGGGACCUAAAAGUGGAUUUUCAAUGAGCAGAGGAAGUUUCAUAGAGCAAAAAUCACAAGAU
ensembl:misc_RNA 7SK 7SK RNA